CUGAGAGAACACAGUAUGGAGAGAGUACUGAAACAGAGAACACAGAAUGGAGAGAGUACUCAUAGACGAAGAGAAUACAGUAUGGAGAGAGUACUCAUAGACUGAGAGAGCACAGUAUGGAGAGAGUACUCAUAGACUGAGAGAGCACAGUAUGGAGAGAGUACUCAUAGACUGAGAGAACACAGUAUGGAGAGAGUACUCAUAGUCUGCUAAAGUUACUCUGGUGUGAGGAGGGGGGGC